UAUAAGGCUGGGUAGGGAGAACUGUAUUGGCAGCACUCUUCUAUGACUCAUGGUCUAAUAUUCUGGCAAGGACGCUUGGAGUUGGCCCUAAUAUGCUGCUGGGAUGGCUCCUUGAGGCAUGGACACAAUGACGUGCAGUUAACUGGGGAGAGAUGCUAGCCCUGCCUUGGCAGAAUAUUAAGAAAGGGAUUUGAAGGCUUGAGAAGGGAAGAUUUUAGGUUGGGUUUACUAUGUGAGAAGAGAGUACCCUCUAGAUUACUAGAUUCCUCACCAGGGCCAGGAAGAAACUUCCUUCAUUAAGACAUCAAGAAAUAAAGACCUGUAACUGUGACUGAUACAGGAGGAGAAUUGAUUCUUGCAUCACCUAUGACCUUAAAGACCUCAUGGGCAGAACUGGCUGUUGAUUUACCAGAGCAGAGACUUCUUGGAGUACCAGGCGAAAGGUGACAUGGAAUGUGAAAAUUUUGCCUGUUUUGAAAGGAAUCUCAAGGAAGAGAGGAAGAUGCUAAAGCAGUUGGCCAGGAUCCAUGGGAUUCAUUCUCUUCCUUCACCAAAUGGGAAAAGAAGGCAGAUGACCAUUUUAGUCUCCUUGCCAAAUGGACCUCUGGGUUUGUGUCAUCAUCUUAUACCUUUAGAAUCAUUUUAAUUCUAUUUGUUUUAAUUUUCCCUUCAUGAGUUUUGAAUUUUAUUUGAUUUUUCUGGUAUGAAGUCCUAUAUGCAAGGUCCUUUCCAAUUUUUGCUUCUGUCUCUAGUCCAAAUCUUACACUCUGCUCUUGUCUAGAGACCCUAUUAUAUUACCUAGUUGGUAUCCAUGACUACAUCACUUUAUUCUUCUCUCUUUAGUCUUCUUUUUACCAGCCAUUUUAAGAUGCUAAUAAUUUGGCUUUUUUUACCUUGGGAAAAAAAAUCACAGAGCUAAUUUCAUACAAUUGAUAUCAGUAUCCCUAACAACCAUGGCAAUGCCAAGUGUAUAAAGAAUUGGUCUUCACUUUUUGGCUAGGUCUAAUUAUGAACAAAUGCCCAUUGGAUAUGAAGUAAUUUCAAGAAACAUCCACAACACUGUUCAUGAAACUGGAAGGUACAGAGAUGGUAUUUUAAUGGCUGUGAUAAGGAUUGUACUGCGGUACAAUGCCAAAGGGAGAAAUGAGAGAUGUAGAAAGACACCUGUGGUUGGAGCAAAGAGGAAUUAAUUUCCUUUUAGUUGUAAAAAAUAAGAAAGCUGUAAUAUAAGAAGAAUCACUUCCAUAAUGAGUCUUGAUACAUGGGGUUGAGUAGUAUAUUAAUAGUCAGAGAAAUACAACAAAUCGGAGACAGAUAAGUAGGUAAGAAUGUUAAAUGGGAUUUUUUUAUAAGAAACUGACUCAUGAAAUUACUGAAACUGAGAAAUCCCACAUUGAAGCUGGAGACCCAAAAAACUGGUGAUGUAAAUUCUAGUUUGAGUCUGUAGGCCUGAGUACCAAGAGUGUAAAGUGCCAGUCCAAGAGCAGGAAACCAUUGUCUCAACUCAACAGUCAUGCAGAGAGAGAAUUCACUUGCAUUCUCUUUUUUAUUCCAUUUGAGUACUCAGUGGCUUGGAUGGUGCCCACCUCCAUUGGGGAGGUCAAUCUACUUUCCUCAGUCCAGUGAUCCAAGUACUAAUCUCUUCUAGAAAUACUCUACAGACACACCAAAAAUAAUGCUUGACUGAAAUACCUGGGCAUCUUCUGGGCCAGUCAAGUUAAUACAAAAAUUUAACCAUUGUAAAUAGAGUUCAAGGGUAGGAUAGGGAAAGAGGAAGGGACAGAAAAAGCAUGACAGAUUAAGAGAUUAGCAGAAGCAGCCAGGAGAAAAAGACUGGAUAUUGAAGGGCUCUUGGGUCACUUUACUAAGGUUGUCCUAGGCUGUCACAUGUAUUGGUUCUUUUGAAACAGACUUCCCUGGUGGCUCUGAUGG